rnacentral:rRNA from 1 species
AGGACGAACGCUGGCGGCGUGCUUAACACAUGCAAGUCGAGCGGAAAGGCCCUUCGGGGUACUCGAGCGGCGAACGGGUGAGUAACACGUGAGUAAUCUGCCCCUAGCUCUGGGAUAGCUCCGGGAAACCGGGAUUAAUACCGGAUACGACCACUUUAGACAUCUGUUGUGGUGGAAAGAAUUUUGGCUAGGGAUGAGCUCGCGGCCUAUCAGCUUGUUGGUGGGGUAACGGCCUACCAAGGCGACGACGGGUAGCCGGCCUGAGAGGGCGACCGGCCACACUGGGACUGAGACACGGCCCAGACUCCUACGGGAGGCAGCAGUGGGGAAUAUUGCGCAAUGGGCGAAAGCCUGACGCAGCGACGCCGCGUGGGGGAUGAAGGCCUUCGGGUUGUAAACCCUUUCAGCAGGGACGAAGCGAAAGUGACGGUACCUGCGAGAAGAAGCGCCGGCUAACUACGUGCCAGCAGCCGC